AAAGGCUGAAGAAGCAGAAG
rnacentral:siRNA from 1 species